GGCCGGCCUGUCAGCUGCUCCGAACACGUGUUGUUGUCAAAGCACGUGUUGUGUCUUAUGAGGAUUCGCCUGUCUUGUUUCUGGGGAAGAAUUCGUGAUAUAUUUUAACCAAAGAAGGGGGAAGCUAACAGAGAGAAAAGUAUCGCAACGCAGAGACAAAAGACGGUAAAAAAGGAAGAAGAGGAAGGCUAUUAACUGCUGCAACUCCAGCUAAAGGUCACUGGAGCAAAGAAAGCGACAGCUGUGGUUUUCUCAGCAAUGGAGGGAGGACAGAGUAAGGGAAAGGGGAGAGCAAUGGCUUCUGAAAUGCAGAAAGGAGCUAUGUAUGCAAAAUGGAAGAAGAAGAGAGGCUGAAGAAAUGUUAACCCCAAUGAAAAGGAUAAUCCGAGAAUGGUGGACUUUUAACCUUAAAGCUGAGGUCUAGGGGUUUGCAGCAAAAUCUCAUUCCCUCAACUGAAGUCAUUUUAUAAGAAUUACUACCAAAGGAGUGAGUUAUCGAGGAUGUUUUACUCCUCAGAUUGAUAAGCACAAAGAGUCUAUUAAACCGAAUCAAAGAGGUUGCUGAGGAAUGCCCUCAUGUAUGCUGAUUAUGCCUAAGUGAAUGGUUUCCUGAGAAUAUACCAGUAGACAGAAGGACAGAGUUCCAUUAGGGAAAGAGGACGCGAAUAAGAAUUAAAUGGAUGUUGGCAGCUAAGAGGAGAAGAAACAGACCCCUAUAGAAAUUUGAGUAAAUAUAGUAUUGUCAGGAAAUUUUGAACAACUGUGUAUAUUCUCUUCAUAAAGGAAACUGUGAAACCUUAAAGAUGUAUUUAUCUUUACAAAAAGUAUGCCUAUUAUGUGUUGUGAAUUUGUACUUAUUUGUGUGUGAAUCUGAUUUUCACUUACAAAAUAUGAUAGUUAAAAUGAUAAUAAUGGACAAUAAUAACUUGUAUUUUAUAUGUUAUUAUUAUUUUACAUGUUUCCUCCUCCACCUCUCAGUAUCACAUAUCAUACUUGUGAUGCGUAGGUAUUGUUAGAGAGAGUUUGUGUGGUUGGGAUGUUGUUUGAAAUUGUAACUUAUUAAUGUCAUUAUCAUUUAGUGUUAUAAAUGGGUAUAU